AGUCGAGCGAUGAAACUACUUCGGUAGUGAAUUAGCGGCGAACGGGUGAGGAACACGUGAGGAAUCUGCCUUCAACACUGGGAUAACUCCGGGAAACCGGGGCUAAUACCGGAUACGAGCUCUGAUCGCAUGGUCGGGGCUGGAAAGUUUUUCGGUUGAAGAUGACCUCGCGGCCUAUCAGCUUGUUGGUGAGGUAAUGGCUCACCAAGGCGACGACGGGUAGCCGGCCUGAGAGGGCGACCGGCCACACUGGGACUGAGACACGGCCCAGACUCCUACGGGAGGCAGCAGUGGGGAAUAUUGGGCAAUGGAGGAAACUCUGACCCAGCGACGCC
rnacentral:rRNA from 1 species